CCCACAUCACAGCACUGCCAGACAUGGGGACCAAAAAUCACUUUUGUUUUCCAUCCUUUUGGGCGAGGAAAACGAGGCCAAUUCUCAAGAAAUGCACAUUCUCUCAGAAAACAUUGAUACGACGGAAGCGGCCGGCAUAAAGCAUGGAUAAAGCAUGGACCAGGACUAUCGGGCCAACAGCUGCACGGCUCCUGGCCAGUGACCACGGGUCCCAGGGCUGGAAAAAGCAGCCCCUCCAGACAGUCAUCCGGGACGACUUCCACCGCAGGAGAUGACCCAGCUCGGUGCUGAGAUUCAGGCCCCCCUCGCGGUGUCACUCUCACGUUUCCAGGCCGUGAAGCAGCCCCAGACUCAUGAGACCCGGGCAUCCGCCCAUCACCCCAGGGCAGGGUCUGCGCAAAGGAAACUGAGGCUCAGAGGAGUGGACAGCUUGUCCAAGGUCACAGAACUAGUCCAUCCGUCCGUGCGGUUAACCCCUGGACCCCACGCCCUGCACCAACAGCCGCUCCUGCACUCAGACUCGGAAGAACUUGUGCCGCGUAGCUGGGGGUGCCCAGCCGGCCCCGCACGGACCGGAGCGGCUCAGGGUGAAGCUGCCUGAGGGAGACACGCCUGCCUUGUAGCCAUGUUGAGCAGCCCCGCUGGAGCCUCAGGAAGUGGAGUUGCUGGGAUCUCUCCUUGUCCUCACCUCCUGCCGAGAGUGUCCUUUGUGAGAGCACUUCCUGGCCUAAUUAAGCAGGCUCAGAACCCUCCGCUCCACAGCCAUAGCCUCUGCUUCGCACCGGGGUCCAUCUGGCUGUCUGUUUCCAUUACUCUGCUGUCACUGGUCAGUGCCCAGGGGAGGGGCACAGAGUCGGCCGGCCGCCACUGACCUGUCACCUUCCCCUGCACGCUCACUUAUUUCUGUAUUUACACGCCAUCUGUGUUCAAAAAGGAUUCCAGGCCGUUUCUAGGUGAUGGCACAGCUCCAUGAAACCAGAGCCAGGUGAAAGAUUGAGGUCCAGGCUGUAACGGAAGCUGGGCCAAGAGGAUGAUGACAGCUUCGUCAUCAAAACCCAGCCCAGGUUUGGGGAAAUGUCACAUCUGAGCCUGAUAAUCAGCCCAGCCGCCUGCCUGGCAGUGGUGUCAGAAAGGGAAACAGAGUGUCUGAUGGAAAGGGCUCCCUUCCCACCACUGUCCCUACACUGGGCCUUGCUCGGGGGCGCUCAGCUUCGCCUCCAUGGGCAGCGUUCCACCUCCCUCACCGGGCAGAAGACCACUGGCCCUGCUUCCAGAUCUGGCACGGACGCCCUGCCAGCCUCCAGCGUCAGGACCAGAUGCCUCCCCAGCGUCUGUCCAGCCCCCCAGGGCUUCUGGGGAGGCCGGCUGAGCAGAAGCCCUGCCCUCACCUCCACGUGCCCUGGGCCAGUGCAGAGCCCGGUGCAGAGAACCCAAUGGUGAGCCCUGGAAGGAGCAGGGACAGGCCGUGUCCACGGCGCUCCCGUGUCGGGGGACCCUGCACAGCAGCUCUGGUCAGCGGCAGCGGGAGCUUCACAAUGCCCUCGUCAGCGGUGGGCUUGACCGCGGUGGAGGUGUCCACGGCCCAGGACUGCAGCCGCUCAGACGCGGGGCUCCCCUCAGGCCACGGCCCCUUCGCCGCAGAGCUGCCUCCCACCCCUGCCUCAUUUUCCGCUUGUUA